CAAGGACGAACGCUGGCGGCGUGCUUAAUACAUGCAAGUCGAACGGAGAUUAUGAUUUCGGUUGUAAUCUUAGUGGCGAACGGGUGAGUAACGCGUGAACAACCUGACUCAGAGUGGGGGGAUAACAACGGGAAACUGUUGCUAAUACCGCAUAAGACCACAUUUCCGCAUGGGAGAGGGGUCAAAGAUUUAUCGCUUUGAGGGGGGUUCGCGUCCCAUUAGGUAGUUGGAGGGGUAACGGCCCACCAAGCCAACGAUGGGUAGCCGAGCUGAGAGGCUGAUCGGCCACACUGGAACUGAGACACGGUCCAGACUCCUACGGGAGGCAGCAGUAGGGAAUAUUGGGCAAUGGGCGCAAGCCUGACCCAGCAACGCCGCGUGAGGGAAGAAGGUUUUCGGAUUGUAAACCUCUGUCCUAUGUGACGAAGGAAGUGACGGUAGCAUAGGAGGAAGCCCCGGUUAACUACGUGCCAGCAGCAGC
rnacentral:rRNA from 1 species